rnacentral:rRNA from 1 species
GAUGAACGCUGGCGGUGUGCCUAAUACAUGCAAGUCGAGCGAACGGACGAGAAGCUUGUUUCUCUGCUGUUAGCGGCGGACGGGUGAGUAACACGUGGAUCACCUACCUAUAUGACUGGGAUAACUUCGGGAAACCGGAGCUAAUACCGGAUAAUAUUUUGAACCGCAUGGUUCAAAAGUGAUAGACGGUCUUGCUGUCACUUAUAGAUGGAUCCGCGCUGCAUUAGCUAGUUGGUAAGGUAACGGCUUACCAAGGCAACGAUGCAUAGCCGACCUGAGAGGGUGAUCGGCCACACUGGAACUGAGACACGGUCCAGACUCCUACGGGAGGCAGCAGUGGGGAAUCUUCGGCAAUGGGCGCAAGCCUGACGGAGCAACGCCGCGUGAGUGAAGAAGGUCUUCGGAUCGUAAAACUCUUUUAUUAGGGAAGAACAUAUGUAUGAGUAACUGUGCACAUCUUGACGGUACCUAAACAGAAAGCCACGGCUAACUACGUG